rnacentral:lncRNA from 1 species
UAAAGAGUUGUGAAGAUAUCUCUAGGCCCUCCAGAGCAGAUAUAUACACGCAAACAGAAGUUGAGUAUCCCUUAACCAGAAUUCCAAAAAACCAAAAUACUCCAAAAUCCAAAUUGCUAGAAGUGUAUCAAGUAGCAGAAAUCCAUUAUAUUUUUAUUUCAAAUUUUGGAUCCCCCCCCCCCCCCAAAUUUAAUUUUUGGUAAGAUUCUGGAAGAUUUGGAGGGAGGGCGUUUUGAUUCGUAAUUUGAAAUCCGAAGUUCCGUUUUCAUUUCGGUAAGAUUAGCACCAAUGGGAAAAAUUGCAAUUGCUUGUAUUCUUGUCAUUUUUAUGGCUAUUGGGAUGAAACUUGACACACUUGUAGGCCAGGUUUAUGACUGUUAGCCUGCCAAGUUUCAGAACAUUUUCCACUGAUGUUUAGGAAAAAAUUUUAUUGGUGCUUUCAUGUCAUUGUCGUACACAAAAAUCUGCAUAAAAAGGAAAAUAAACAUACAAACAAACCAAAAGUAGCAAUGUACUGUGAACCACGUGCUGCCUCCGGCGGAACUAACAAAGGUGAGAUAGAAAAGAGAAAGAGCCAGAGAAGAAAUAAAAAUAUAUAUGAAAAAUGUUUAGGAAUGUUUAGGAAUUUUUUAAAGUUUCUAAUAUAAAAUGUAUUUUAUUUCAAUUUCUCCCCAGGGACAGAAGACGAGUAGGUCUUCAGAAGAGGAGGAGGAGCAGGACAGUGUUCAUGAAUCUGAGGUGACUGAAGGAGUAGCCCAUUGUUUCUUUGAGUGGAAAGUAAGAAGGUUGCAUCCUUGGGGAAGUGUCUAUGUGAAGAGCAAAGAAAUGCAGAAACGUAUUGGCACCCCCGACAGUGGAGUCAGCGCACUGCUAUCUGAAAAGACAUUUGAGAGCACGAGAAUGAUUUUGCAUUUGAGCUGACCUUCAAUUUCCAUCUCAAGCAUGACAAAAAAAAAAAAUAGUGUGGGUUUCCUUUUGUGUUGGUUAUUCUCUUCUUCUUUUCUCUUUGCAAGUUGUGUUCCUCUCUUUUAUUUAUCCCUUUUGGAAAACCUCCUCUGAAUAUCGAGUGCCUCCAUCAGUUGGCCUCUUUCUUAAUCCGUCAACUUUCUGCAUGACCUCUCCGACUGUCUGGAGGAGCAAUCUGUUCCUGUUCCAGGCUGUUUCCUACCUCGCUGAUAGCCUGCUUACUCUCCUUCAGGGCUGCCAAGGACCAAGGUCUCUCCGUGUGACACAUGGCUACUGUGUCAGUCACAGAGUCACAGACUGAAACCAAUACCUAUGGCCCUGCUGCUCCUAGUCCUUUAAAAGACCUCUGGGCUGUAACAUUCGGUCUCUCCCACAGUUGCCAUUGCACGAUGGGGCAUCCGUUGAGCCAGAGCAAGUGGCUGGGAAGAAAUAAGAGGACAACGUGGUGCAGGAGAGCCCAGAAAAGCUAUGAGGGAAUUUAUGUCAGGGUAUUGUGUAUUGUGAAAUGUUAAAAUCAAUCUGGGUUAUUAGAAAUGCCUUAUGUGUUAGUUUUUCGGCACGGCAUUUCAGCAGUUAUGGAGUUCAUGAGAGUCUACUAUGAUUGAUGUAUCACAGGACCAAUGGGGUCAAGUUUGUUUUGACCGGGACUUUCUUUCUUGUUCCUGUGGAAUGCAGAGGAGUUUCCUGAGCAGAAGAGCAGUGUGCUGUGUGUGCAUGAGUCGCUUCAGCGAGCACUCAUGGAGAGAAGGACUGAUUUGCUCUGUUUGUAUAUAGAAAUGUAAAUAAAAGUUUAUUGCCAUUGGAUUUCCAACCGAACCCUCAUCUGCUGGAGUGUGUUUGUCCAGUGCUGUUUUUCACACCGGGAGACAGUCUGGAGAGAAGGAGGUGAAGACCGGGAUGGUGAAUUUUUGGAUUUCACUCUGCUACACAUCAUUUCCCCUGACAAUUUAUUUAUUUAUUUAUUACAAUACUUAUAUCUUGCCCUUCUCACCCACAGGGGACUCAGGGUGGCUUACAAUAAAACACAAUAUAAAAAUAUUACAGACAAUUCAAUCAAUUAAAAUUAAAUACAUUAAAUUUAAUUUAAUGGGGCGCAGGCUGUUGAGCAGCUGCAAUAAAUCACUCUGACCAUGAGGUCAUGAGUUCGAGGCCAGCCCGUGGCGGGGUGAGCACCCGUCAAUUAAAAAUAAAAAAUAGCCCCUGCUCGUUGCUGACCUAGCAACCCGAAAGAUAGUUGCAUCUAUCAAGUAGGAAAUAAGGUACCACUUAUAAAAGUGGGGAGGUGAGUUUAACUAAUUUACGACCUGGAAUGAGGAAGUGCCGUCAGAGUGGAUGAUGAAGCAGCUGCUCCCCCCUGUGGCCAGAAUCGAACAUCCCCUCAGGAGAAGGUUAAAUUGCCUCUGCGUCUGUCUCUGUCUCGGUCUCUGUUUGAUGUGUUUAUGGGCAUUGAAUGUUUGCCCUAUGUGUGUAUAAUGUGAUCCACCCUGAGUCCCCUUCGGGGUGAAAAGGGCGGAAUAUAAAUACUGUAAAUAAAUAAAUUGAACAUUGAUAAAAAUACACAUAUAAAUACACAAUUGGUGCAUUUCGAGUCUGAUAACUGGUCUGUCAUUGAAUUCUAGGAUGGUAAUAAUUGAUGCUGCUGUUGUUGAUCGAAGGCCUGGUCCCACAACCAGAACAGAAUAAAUUCUCAACCCCUUACAAGUGUUAACCAGCAUUCAGAAAGCAUGAAAUAGUAAAACAAAAAGAUAUUUCAUCUAAAUCAACAGUGGAUUAUAUGUUCUCAAUAGACAUAAACAUAAGAACUGCAACAAUGACUGCUAUAAUGGGUUUUAAAUGGGUUUUAAAACGUAGAGAAUGUGAUUCAGAUCACCGAAAUAUC